ensembl:snoRNA
AGCCUUUGUGUUGCCCAUUCACUUUUGAAAGCUAGUGAAUGUGGUGUCAAAAAAGUCAUAAAUAAAAGCUUUGCAGCUUUUUCCUGCCCUUAUAUUUGGUAUAUUUGGUGUAGGAGCCGCAUAAGUAACUGUU